rnacentral:lncRNA from 1 species
AAUUUCACUUAUUGUUACAUUUAAAUCAACACACUUCCUGUUAAGCCAAAUUAUUUAUACUGGAUUGUUAAUCAAGAACACGAAAGGAAAAUAUGGCCAUCUCUCAAUGCACCAUAGUCAUAUCAAAUUAAAUCCACAGAUGAUAGAAUCAAUUUGAACACCCUAAUUAACUAACCCACUAUAUCUCUAUGUGAAUUACA